CCCUGCCCUUUGUACACACCGCCCGUCGCUACUACCGAUUGGAUGGCUUAGUGAGGCCCUCGGAUCGUCGGCUUGCUGGCUGGAAACGGCUGCACUGCUGCUGAAAAGUUGGUCAAACUUGGUCAUUUAGAGG
rnacentral:rRNA from 1 species